rnacentral:rRNA from 1 species
UGGGGGAUAUUGCACAAUGGGCGAAAGCCUGAUGCAGCGACGCCGCGUGGGGGAUGAAGGCCUUCGGGUUGUAAACUUCUUUUGCUCUGAACAAGGCGCACCAUGGGGUGUGUUGAGUGUAGGGGUUGAUUAGCGCCGGCUAACUACGUGCCAGCAGCCGCGGUAAUACGUAGGGCGCGAGCGUUGUCCGGAAUUAUGGGGCGUAAAGGGCUUGUAGGUGGCUGGUUGCGUCUGUCGUGAAAGCUCAUGGCUUAACUGUGGGUUUGCGGUGGGUACGGGCUGGCUUGAGUGCAGUAGGGGAGGCUGGAAUUCCUGGUGUAGCGGUGGAAUGCGCAGAUAUCAGGAGGAAUACCGGUGGCGAAGGCGGGUCUCUGGGCUGUUACUGACACUGAGGAGCGAAAGCAUGGGGAGCGAACAGG